UUCCCAUAUCAGUGCAGACACUUGGGCUUUUAUAAGCUUAACAUGUCCCAGCUGGGUCUCAUUAGUGCUUAGUGUCUUGUGUUUGUCCUGUCACUGGCUAACAAUCACCACUUGCAAGGGUCUUCCUCUGCCUGGCCAUUUAUCAAUUUCAAUUCAGACCUACUGAGCAAUUCUAUAUUCCUCAACUCUGGCUCAACACAGACUCAAGUCAUUGAUUUUGAGAUCAGAAGCUCAACAUUCAAAUCCUGGUUCUUUCACUUAAUGCCUGUGUGAUCUCAGAAAAAAAGAUUAUGUAUCCUGAGAUGAAUACAUGUGACAAUUUAAGAAGGGGAUGAAGCAGUUAACAACUGGGGACAAGAGGGUUUCAAAAUCACUUCUCCAAUCAAGACUUAAUGUUGGUUUUUUUAUUGUUGUGGAAGUGAACAAAUGUAAGCUGGGAACAGGAAGAAAGAAGACUAUCUAGUUCUGGUAGGUCUCAUAGACUUGGAAUUUUCAGGUAGGCUUCAAUAACUCUAGGACAGUUAUAAAAAAUAAUACUUUGACUUCUGAAUAGAUUCUGAUCAUAAAAAGAUGACAAUGAAUGACACUAGGUCUUAAAGCAUUGCCUGAAGUCAUUAUGUAACCUUCUCUGUGGUCAUUUUAUACUCAAAUGAAAAGCAACUAUUUUUGGACAUCUUUUUUUUUAAUUUUAUAAUAUUUUAUUUGAUUAUUUCCAAGCAUUAUGCAUUAAAGACAAAGAUCAUUUUCUUUUCCUCCUCCCCCACACCCCAUAGCCGACGCGUGAUUCCACUGGGUAUCACAUGUGUUCUUGAUUCGAACCCAUUGUCAUGUUGUUAGUAUUUGCAUUAGAGUGUUCGUUUAGAGUCUCUCCUCUGUCAUGUCCCCUCAACCACUGUAAUCAGGCAGUUGCUUUUCCUCGGUGUUUUUACUC
rnacentral:lncRNA from 1 species